GUUAGCUCAACUGGAUAGAGUACCGGUCUUCGGAACCGAUGGUGUGGGUUCAAAUCCCUCACGG
rnacentral:tRNA from 1 species